GAGAAUACCCGGCGAAUUUAAGCAUAUUACUAACCGGAGGAAAAGAAACCAACAGGGACGUCCUCAGUAGCGGCGAGCGAAGCGGACGAUGCCCAAACCGAACCGCGGUUCCCGAGGGGGCCGCGGAGUGUGGAGAGGAUGAGCUCGCGAGGGGGCGGGACGGGUUCCAAUCCGUCUGGAAGGGCGGAGGCACGGAGGGCGAUUCCCCGUACGUGCUCGGUCCGUCCCCGACGAGCGAACGCAUCGGAGAGUCGGGCCGCUUGAGAGUGCAGCCCGAAUGGGGUGAUAGGUCUCAUCCAAGGCUAAGUACGUGGGAGACGCCGAUAGCGAACAAGUACGGCGACGGAAAGGUGAAAAGAACCUCGAAAGGGGGGUCAAAAGCGCUCGAAAUCGUAGAGGGGGAAGCGGACCUGACCGACGAGACCUCGUCGUCGCUCGCGC
rnacentral:rRNA from 1 species